rnacentral:rRNA from 1 species
GAUGAACGCUGGCGGCGGGCUUAACACAUGCAAGUCGAACGGCAAGGCCCUGCUUUCGUGGGGUGCUCGAGUGCCGAACGGGUGAGUAACACGAGAGCAUCCUGCCCUUGACUUUCGGAUAACUUUAGGAAACUGGGGCUAAUACCGGAUAGGAGCUCCUGCCGCAUGGUGGGGGUGGGAAAGUCUCGGCGGUUGGGGAUGGACUCGCGGCUUAUCAGCUAGUUGGUGGGGUAGUGGCUGACCAAGGCCUGGACGGGUAGCCGGCCUGAGAGGGGGACCGGGCACAUGGGGACUGAGGUACGGGCCAGAGUCCUACGGGAGACAGCAGUGGGGAAUAUUGCCCAAUCGGCCGAAGCCUGAUGCAGCAGCGCCGCGUUCGGGAUGACGGCCUUCGGGUAGUAAACCGCAUUCGCCUGUGACGAAGCGUGAGUGACGGUAAUGGAUGAAGAAGCACCGGCUAACUACGUG